UACGGGGGGAGCAAGCGUUGUUCGGAUUUACUGGGCGUAAAGAGCGCGUAGGCGGCGCAACAAGUCACUUGUGAAAUCUCCGGGCUUAACCCGGAGCGGCCAAGUGAUACUGUCGUGCUAGAGUGCGGAAGGGGCUACUGGAAUUCUCGGUGUAGCGGUGAAAUGCGUAGAUAUCGAGAGGAACACCUGCGGCGAAGGCGGGUAGCUGGGCCGACACUGACGCUGAGGCGCGAAAGCCAGGGGAGCGAACGGG
rnacentral:rRNA from 1 species